AGUUUUUUUCGUCAGAUUUGUUAAAGGUUUCGCAAUUAACGCGUAAUUUUUGGCAAAGUGACGGAAAUAUCC